rnacentral:tRNA from 1 species
CAGGCGAUAGCUCAGUAGCAGAGCAUCGGACUCUUAAUCCGACGGACGUGGGUGCGAAUCCCACUCGCUUAA